CAAACAUGCCUCUGUCCUGAGGCUCUUCCUGCUGCCUGGAACAUUCCUCCUGGGCUGAAGUAGGACCAAAUUCUUAUUCUUCAGGUAAUGAUGGACAAGUCCAUUAAGCCUUCUGAUCAUCAGCUUCUUGAACGCUAAAGUGGGAAAUCUAACAUUAAGAUGUCCUACAGCAUGGACUGUUGUGAAAACUAAUAAAGACAAAGCAUUUUCAAGUGCUCUGAAGCACUCAGUGCUAAGUACAAUAAAAGUAAUGCAGCCAGAGGCCUUGAGCCUGCGCCAGAUGGAACCGGCCUUGGCCACUCUUUCCCAUACCGCUCCCAGCUGACAGAGGUUUGGCUGGUGAUUCUGCCAGAACCCAUGCAUCAGUAUUACCCCAGGAGCUGCAGGGCACACACCAGUGUGUGCUGAGAAAGCCCCCAAGAAAGAUGGAACCCACACAGGGGCAUUGCUAAUGCUGUCCCAGAAAACAAGCCCAGGGAUUUUCCCAGCUCUACACAUUGCUUUGUGUUUAUCAGUGCUUUGACCAGCACUGUUCCUUUGUGACAGACAUGAAACUCUUAAAACAAAAAUCUUUUUUAUUUUA